GUCUACAGCCAUACCACCCUGAAUGUGCCAGAUCUCAUCUGAUCUCAGAAGCUAAACAGGGUCAGAGCUGGUUAGUACUUGGAUGGGAGACAGCCUGAGAAUACUGGGUGCUGUAUGCU
rnacentral:rRNA from 1 species